rnacentral:lncRNA from 1 species
AGAGAUUGGCUUUUUAAAAGUCUAGCCACGUCAGCACAUCUUAAAAAAAUAGCACAACGCAUAAUCUUGUAUCGUUUAAGCAGAAUUCAUCUAGCCAAUACGUUGAACUGCUAUUUUUUAUUGAUUUCUAGAGGGGUUCUUCCAGAUACAGGGUCCACAAAGGGCACUUUUAGCCCUUUUCACACACCUUUGAUCUUUUUCCAUUCAAGAAUCGUGGAAAAUCUUCUCAUGUUCUUCCAUUUCAUGAAUUUCUGGAUUUCUUACCGUCCGAUUCCACCAUUGGAUCGAUUUCUUUUGUUGAGAAGUACUGAUAGCUGAGGCCCCCCCCCCCCCCCCCCCCCCC